CACGUAGGCACCAAGCGUUGUCCGGAUUUAUUGGGCGUAAAGAGCUCGUAGGCGGUUCAGUAAGUCGGGUGUGAAAACUCUGGGCUUAACCCAGAGACGCCACCCGAUACUGCUGUGACUUGAGUACGGUAGGGGAGCAGGGAAUUCCUGGUGUAGCGGUGAAAAUGCGCAGAUAUCAGGAGGAACACCGGUGGCGAAGGCGCUGCUCUGGGCCGAAAACUGACGCUGAGGGAGCGAAAAGCGUGGGUAGCAAACAGG
rnacentral:rRNA from 1 species